rnacentral:tRNA from 10 species
UGGGGUGUAGCCAAGUGGUAAGGCAACGGUUUUUGGUACCGCGUACCGCAGGUUCGAAUCCUGCCACCCCAGCCA